UACAGAGGUCUCAAGCGUUGUUCGGAUUCAUUGGGCGUAAAGGGUGCGUAGGCGGCGUGGUAAGUCGGGUGUGAAAUCUCGGAGCUUAACUCCGAAACUGCAUUCGAUACUGCCGUGCUUGAGGACUGGAGAGGAGACUGGAAUUUACGGUGUAGAGGUGAAAUGCGUAGAUAUCGUAAGGAAGACCAGUGGCGAAGGCGGGUCUCUGGACAGUUCCUGACGCUGAGGCACGAAGGCCAGGGGAGCAAACGGG
rnacentral:rRNA from 1 species